GAUGAAGAACGCAGCGAAAUGCGAUAAGUAAUGUGAAUUGCAGAAUUCAGUGAAUCAUCGAAUCUUUGAACGCACAUUGCGCCCCCUGGUAUUCCGGGGGGCAUGCCUGUUCGAGCGUCAUUUCACCACUCAAGCCUCGCUUGGUAUUGGGCAACGCGGUCCGCCGCGUGCCUCAAAUCGUCCGGCUGGGUCUUCUGUCCCCUAAGCGUUGUGGAAACUAUUCGCUAAAGGGUGUUCGGGAGGCUACGCCGUAAAACAACCCCAUUUCUAAGGUUGACCUCGGAUCAGGUAGGGAUACCCGCUGAACUUAAGCAUAUCAAAAAGCGGAGGA
rnacentral:misc_RNA from 1 species